UCUCUUCCUAGUGAUGGCUGACCAGGCCAUCUUCUGCUACAUACGCAUCUAGAGAUACGAGCUCUGGGGGUAGUGGUUAGUUCAUGUUGUUGUUCUACCUAUAGGGUUGCAGACCCCCCUCAGCUCCUUGGGUGCUUUCUCUAGCUUCUCCUUUGGGGCCCCUGUGUUCCAUCCUAUAGAUGACUGUGAGCAUCCUCUUCUGUAUUUGCCAGGCACUGGCAUAGCCUCAUAUGAGACAGCUAUAACAGGGUCCAUAUGGGCCUCUUCUUAAGGCCCUCUCAAUGGUACCUUGGGCUGCUGGAAACUCAGGCAGACAACCCACCCCCACCCCCUCCCCCAGGCAAAGUGGCACGGACUUGUCUCACUUCCGCCAUUUCCUGUUCCUGUGAAAUUAAAGGUGUAGUCCUAGUGUGCACUGUCCUUCCUGGAUGCUGAGGGAGGGUAGAAGUUGAGUUCUCUGAAACCUGUUUAAGACCUGGGGUUAGAGGUAGCCCAGCUCACACGUAGCCUUCACUUCCGUCUGACCAUCGUAAAUGCUGUUAUCUGGGAGAGAACUGGCCUCCUCUUUCAGACCUUUGCAAGGCUCGAUGUUCCAACAACAUUGGGUUCCUUCCAGAGACAGCAUUUUAGUUGGGACUAAUUUUGGUUUUUGAAAGAAGAGCCAAGAAAGAUGAACGUGUUAGUCACUGUAUCUCCCCAUAGCUAAAUGAUUGAUACUCACAGUCAGCAGCUGUAAGCCUCAGAGAGCGGUGCAUGGUACCAUAGAGAGAACAGCCUCCCGGCUCUGCCCCAACGCUGCUGCUGACUUUGCUGGGCUCUCUGCUGGCUUUGGAGGUGAGUGUGUGUGUGAAGAUUCCUUCCCACCUUGUACUGUGCAGGUGCAGAAAGAAACACGGGAUGAUCUCUCACAGGUGCUGUAACCUACGGUUUUGUCCAAACCUGGGUAGACACAGACCUUAAGUUAAUACCAUAACUGUGUUUAAUUUCUGAAUGCCUAAAAUAAUAAAUUGAGAACUCAAGAUUUUUCAGAAGAAAGCAGUGGAUUUCUAGAUCAAGGUGGGACCAGUGCUGUAUAUUUUUAGAAGGAUAAGCAGUUGGCUCAGCAGGUAAAAAUGCCUGUUUUACUCUGAGAACUUGAAUUCAACCCCUGAGGCCCAUGCAGUAUAAGGAGAGAACACAUAAGCAAACGUCUAAUUUGAUUCUUAAAAACAGAAGUAGUAUAAAAAUAACUACUAUUUUGUAUGACUAGAAAUGUGUUUAAUCUUAGAGUAUUAUCUAGAUCUCUGUGGUGAUGGCAUGAAGUUUUCACCAUUCUAAUUUAUUUUUUUACACCAUCUAGUGGCUCAGAAUGAGUGGUGCAGGUAAUUGCAGCUAAUGUGCACAAUCAAACUGGUGUCAUUAAUUUAGCUUUACAUCUAGCUAUGGGUGAUUACUCUCCCAUCUCAUGUCAAUAAAGUAUUAGCAUUAAUCAUGAAAAAUUGUGUUCAUCAUUUUGAAUUUAGUGUGGAAAUUGUAUAAAAAGGAAGAAUAUAUUUUAAGAAAUCUAGCAUAAUAUUUGUGAAGAUAUAGAAAAUGAAUACUUUGUAAGAAAUCGAUGCCAUGCCUUUUUUAAUAAAUAAAACUAUUUAAAAAGUUUUUUAAAAAUACAAUUUAAUCUUAGAAAUAUACUGACUUUUAAUUUGAAGUAUUAUCUAUGAUUUGACUUACUGCCCACAAGUUUCUCAGUUUUGAAUAUGUCCAUUUUAAAAAGGUAACACAAAAUAGUUUAAGGAAAGAUUUUUUUAAUAUACAUAUCUAGACAAAUUUAAAAAUCAAAUGGUAUGCUUUAUAAUAAAAGACAUUUCCAUUUUGUAAAUGUAGUGGUAGAAAACAUUUCACUGAUUUGAUGGUUAGGCGAUUUUCAUUAUACAUCUCUAUGGAAAUAUACCUUAUUUUUACAUUUUUCCCACCCUCCUUCUGUCCUCCCUCCUCCUCCUCCUCCUCCUCCUUCCCUCCCUCCCCUUCUCUUCCAUGAACAUCUUGCUGGCAAGUUGCUGUGCUCAGUUAGCCGCAGGAUGGUUUAUUUAUGUUAAGCCUCUUUUGAGUUACACAGAUCUUAACCACCAUCACCCUUUUUUUCUUCAGUGAAAAUCAAAUGCAACAUACAAUAAAGAAGAGCUGGCAGACACUCUGCCCUUCCCCCUUCCCUCUUUAACAUUUUCCAAUUAGCAGCUGCCAUGUGACCCUCUGGCUGAGUUACCUCCUCCUUCAAAUAUCCCCACAUUUUUUUUUUUUUUAGUUUCAACCUUUGAACCUCACUAAUGUAAAUCUAAAUACUGUUUGCUUUAAAUGGAGACAGUACCUUUUUGCUUUAUUGUUCUCUUGAUGUUGUUUUCUUAAUGAAUUAAAAUAAUUCAGUAUUUUAAUGUAGAUUUAGAAGUCGUUUUUUUUUUUUUUCUCCUCC
rnacentral:lncRNA from 1 species